rnacentral:rRNA from 1 species
UACGGGGGGGGCAAGCGUUGUUCGGAAUUACUGGGCGUAAAGGGCUCGUAGGUGGCCAACUAAGUCAGACGUGAAAUCCCCAGGCUCAACUUGGGAACUGCGUCUGAUACUGGAUGGCUUGAAUUCGGGAGAGGGAUGCAGAAUUCCAGGUGUAGCGGUGAAAUGCGUAGAUAUUCGCAAGAACACCAGUGGCGAAGGCGGCUCACUGGCCCGGUACUGACGCUGAGGUGCGAAAGCGUGGGGAGCAAACAGG